AUGGAUAUUUUUUAUGUUGACUUUCAUUACGGGGGACAUUUUGUUGAUGAUAAGGGGGUACUCGAAAUAUGGUAUGAUUUUGCUGGCAAAUUAAAGUCGCUAGAAAAUGACUUUGGUGCAAUAGAAAUGCUAAAUUGGUCCAAGAUUACUAUAAAGGUAAACCUAUACAUAGUCCACCCUAUUUCACAACCUGAAGUAACAAGUAGUUAA